AGUUGAUCUGGCUCAGGAUGAACGCUAGCUACAGGCUUAACACAUGCAAGUCGAGGGGCAGCAUGAGAUUAGCUUGCUAAUCUUGAUGGCGACCGGCGCACGGGUGAGUAACGCGUAUCCAACCUUCCCCUUAGUAGGGCAUAGCCCGGCGAAAGUCGGAUUAAUACCCUAUGUUCUUCGUAGAGGACAUCUGAAAUGAAGCAAAGAUUUAUCGCUAAGGGAUGGGGAUGCGUCUGAUUAGGUAGUCGGCGGGGUAACGGCCCACCGAGCCUGCGAUCAGUAGGGGUUCUGAGAGGAAGGUCCCCCACAUUGGAACUGAGACACGGUCCAAACUCCUACGGGAGGCAGCAGUGAGGAAUAUUGGUCAAUGGGCGCGAGCCUGAACCAGCCAAGUAGCGUGCAGGAUGACGGCCCUAUGGGUUGUAAACUGCUUUUAUGCGGGGAUAAAGUGCACCACGUGUGGUGUUUUGUAGGUACCGCAUGAAUAAGGACCGGCUAAUUCCGUGCCAGCCGCUGC
rnacentral:rRNA from 1 species